rnacentral:rRNA from 1 species
GACGAACGCUGGCGGCGUGCCUAAUACAUGCAAGUAGGACGCAGUUGCGAACGGGUGAGUAACGCGUAGGUAACUACCUAUUAGAGGGGGAUAACUAUUGGAAACGAUAGCUAAUACCGCAUACUAGUAGAUGGACCUGCGUUGUAUUAGCUAGUAGUGAGGGUAAAGGCAUACCUAGGCAACGAUACAUAGCCGACCUUAGAGGGUGAGCGGCACAACUGGGACUGAGACACGGCCCAGAACCCGACGGGAGGCAGCAGUAGGGAAUCUUCGGCAAUGGGGGGAACCUUGACCGAGCAACGCCGCGGGAGUGAAGAAGGUUUUCGGCUCGUAAAGCUCUGUUGUUAAGGAAGCGGUACUUAACCAGAAAGGGACGGCUAACUACGUGCCAGCCGCCGCGGUAAUUC